UGGAGCAUGUGGUUAAUUCGAAGCAACGCGAAGAACCUUACCAGGUCUUGACAUCCUUUGAAUGGUCUAGAGAUAGAUCAGGCCUUCGGGACAGAAGAGACAGGUGGUGCAUGGUUGUCGUCAGCUCGUGUCGUGAGAUGUUGGGUUAAGUCCCGCAACGAGCGCAACCCUUAUCAUUAGUUGCUAACAUUCAGUUGAGAACUCUAAUGAGACUGCCAGUGAUAAACUGGAGGAAGGUGGGAUGACGUCAAAUCAUCAUGCCCCUUAUGACCUGGGCUACACACGUGCUACAAUGGCCGGUACAAAGAGUUGCGAAACUGUGAAGUUAAGCUAAUCUCAUAAAGCCGGUCUCAGUUCGGAUUGUAGUCUGCAACUCGACUACAUGAAGUCGGAAUCGCUAGUAAUCGCGAAUCAGAAUGUCGCGGUGAAUACGUUCUCGGGCCUU
rnacentral:rRNA from 1 species